UACGGAGGGUGCAAGCGUUGUCCGGAUUUAUUGGGUUUAAAGGGUGCGUAGGUGGGUUGGUAAGUCAGUGGUGAAAUCCCCGAGCUUAACUUGGGAACUGCCAUUGAUACUAUCAGUCUUGAAUACCGUGGAGGUCAGCGGAAUAUGUCAUGUAGCGGUGAAAUGCUUAGAUAUGACAUAGAACACCAAUUGCGAAGGCAGCUGGCUACACGAAUAUUGACACUCAGGCACGAAAGCGUGGGGAUCAAACAGG
rnacentral:rRNA from 1 species